AUGCCGCGUGUGUGAAGAAGGCCUUCGGAUUGUAAAGCACUUUAAGUUGGGAGGAAGGGCAUUAACCUAAUACGUUAGUGUUUUGACGUUACCGACAGAAUAAGCACCGGCUAACUCUGUGCCAGCAGCCGCGGUA
rnacentral:rRNA from 1 species